GAUGAACGCUGGCGGCGUGCCUAAUACAUGCAAGUCGAGCGAACGGACGAGAAGCUUGCUUCUCUGAUGUUAGCGGCGGACGGGUGAGUAACACGUGGAUAACCUACCUAUAAGACUGGGAUAACUUCGGGAAACCGGAGCUAAUACCGGAUAAUAUUUUGAACCGCAUGGUUCAAAAGUGAAAGACGGUCUUGCUGUCACUUAUAGAUGGAUCCGCGCUGCAUUAGCUAGUUGGUAAGGUAACGGCUUACCAAGGCAACGAUGCAUAGCCGACCUGAGAGGGUGGGCGGCCACACUGGAACUGAGCCACGGUCAAGACUCCUACGGGAGGCAGCAGUAGGGAUUCUUCCGCAAUGGGCGAAAGCCGGACGGAGCAACGCCGCGUGAGUGAUGAAGGUCUUCGGAUCGUAAAACUCUGUUAUUGGGAAAAAACAUAUGUGUAAGUACCUGUGCCCAUCUUGAGGGCACCUAAUAAGAAAGCCACGGCUAACUCCGUG
rnacentral:rRNA from 1 species